GAUGAACGCUGGCGGCGUGCCUAAUACAUGCAAGUCGAGCGAACAGACGAGGAGCUUGCUCCUCUGACGUUAGCGGCGGACGGGUGAGUAACACGUGGAUAACCUACCUAUAAGACUGGGAUAACUUCGGGAAACCGGAGCUAAUACCGGAUAAUAUAUUGAACCGCAUGGUUCAAUAGUGAAAGACGGUUUUGCUGUCACUUAUAGAUGGAUCCGCGCCGCAUUAGCUAGUUGGUAAGGUAACGGCUUACCAAGGCAACGAUGCGUAGCCGACCUGAGAGGGUGAUCGGCCACACUGGAACUGAGACACGGUCCAGACUCCUAAGGGAGGCAGCAGUAGGGAAUCUUCCGCAAUGGGCGAAAGCUUCACGGAGCAACGCCGCGUGAGUGAUGAAGGUCUUCGGAUCGUAAAACUCUGUUAUUAGGGAAGAACAAAUGUGUAAGUAACUAUGCACGUCUUGACGGUACCUAAUCAGAAAGCCACGGCUAACUACGUG
rnacentral:rRNA from 1 species